CGGAGAGGGAAGGUCUAGAUGGUCCUAGGGGGAUAACAGGGCCUGGGCUGUGCCCAUCUUAUAGAUGGGAAUAGUGAGUCCUGGGAACUUAGCUAAGGCACAGGUAAGCUUCUCUAGACACUAUGCAGUGAAUCUGACGAAAGCGCCAGGGUUCCGGCUUCCACUUCCUUGUUCAGUGUCUUUAUUCGGGAUGUCUCACCUGUGCUGUCCAAGAAGGGCGUUGCAAACAGCUGUGAUAUGAUGAGCAGCCCUAUGGAGAGGGUGUGUGGGAAGAACCUGAAGUCUCCAGCCAGCAGCCACAUGAAUACAUCAUCUUGGAAGCAGAUCCUCCAGCCCCAGUCCAGCCUUCAGAUGACUGCAGCCCUGGUCAACAUCUCAACUGCAGUCUCAUGAGAGACUCCAGACCAGAACCACCCUGCUGAGCCUCUUUUGGAUUCUUGACCCUCAGAAACCCUGUGAGAUCAUAAAUGCCAGUCGUUUUAAGCUGCUAAGUUUUGGGGUCAUUUGUUAGCCAGCAAGAUAACAAAUACAGAUCUGCAUGAAACAUACAAGCAGAAGGAAGUAGGCAGUCAGGUCUACAAGUCUGAAAUUCAGGGAAGCAGUUCAGGCUGAAAUAUAAAUUUGAGAGUUAUUAACAUAUAGGUGAUAUUAAAAGCCAUCAGGAGCAAAGGUUUCUCUUUUUAUGGAAGCUUUCUCCACUUCCCUACUCCCUCUUCUGCGCUCUGAUGUUGGCUUGCCUUUGCUGUGAGGUUGCACGGCGAUGGCUUUGCUGUGCGCCCAUCUGACCAUUAGGUUCAGACAUAACUGAGUCUUCUUUGGAUCUUCUUCUAAACUUGGUACAAACUGGAAGUGCUUAAUAAAUGCUUUUGGGAUGCUAUGAAUGCACAGGGGAGCUUAGAGGGUGAAGCGGACACUGUAAGUGUUAUGACUCUAUCCCUUUUUGCACGGUUGGGCUAACUUUCAACUGCCAGCUUUGGCCUCUCACAGCCUUGGUACCUCCAACCCCUGCAUUGGGAGGCCCCAGAAAAGCCUAGAAUGACCAUCUCCCAGAAGCAGCCCUCAGCUGAAGAUCAUCAUGAGUUGACAUAUAAACAUCUCAGCUUACCCCUUAUGUAGGUUUGGGAGUGGAUGGUUCCAGAUCCUGUGUUUUGCGUUGUUUCUCAGUUUCCUCACAGGAUGCAGCCCUAGUGCCCACUUUGGCAGUGGGCUUAGAACAGCCCUUCCCUGGCUGCCUUCCCUUCUCUGGGUCAUUUCCCUGCUCUCCUGCUGGGGCUCCCCCCAUAGCCAGUACCUCUCAAAUAAACAAUUUGUGCUCAAAUCCGCUCAGGAACUGCUUCUUAGGGAACCAAACCGUGAUUAUGGAGAGGCAGAGCGUGGAUAUGUGGAG
rnacentral:lncRNA from 10 species